GAGCGGCGAACGGGUGAGUAACACGUAAGCAAUCUGCCCUGUAAUCGGGAACAACCGGGCCAACGCCCGGCUAAUGCCGGAUAUCGUGGCGAGUCCCCUGACUCGUUGACGAAAGAUUUAUCGUUACAGGAUGAGCUUGCGUCUGAUUAGCUAGUUGGCGGGGUAACGGCCCACCAAGGCGACGAUCAGUAGCCGGCCUGAGAGGGUGAUCGGCCACAUUGGGACUGAGAUACGGCCCAGACUCCUACGGGAGGCAGCAGUAGGGAAUAUUGCGCAAUGGGGGAAACCCUGACGCAGCAACUCCACGUGUGGGAUGAAGCAUUUCGGUGUGUAAACCACUGUCGAGAGGGAAUAAUGUUUCGCUUCGGCGGAAUUGAAUGUACCUCUAAAGGAAGCACCGGCAAACUUCGUGCCAGCAGCCGCGGUAAUACGAGGGGUGCAAGCGUUGUUCGGAAUCACUGGGCGUAAAGGGAGCGUAGGCGGAAUGACAAGCAUGCUGUAUAAUCCCGGGGCCCAACCCCGGUUCUGCAGUUUGGACUGUUAUUCUUGAGUUAUUCAGAGGCAAGCGGAAUUCCUGGUGUAGCGGUGGAAUGCGUAGAUAUCAGGAAGAACACCAAUGGCGAAGGCAGCUUGCUGGGGAUAAACUGACGCUGAGGCUCGAAAGCGUGGGUAGCAAACAGGAUUAGAU
rnacentral:rRNA from 1 species